rnacentral:RNase_P_RNA from 1 species
CUAGAUGGCUGGGCAAUCGCUUGAUUUAUUAAGAGGAAAGUCCGGGCUCCAUAAAAACACGAUGCUGGAUAACGCCCAGCGGGGGUGACCCUAGGGAAAGUGCAACAGAAAUUAGACCGCCAUAUAUAUAUGGUAAGGGUGAAAUGGUGCGGUAAGAGCGCACCGCGUUUUUGGUAACAAAAAUGGCAUAGUAAACCCCAUCGGGAGCAAGACCAAAUAGGAGCGGCAGGUUCAGGGCUUUUGCCUAUGAUGGAUGUGUUUUUACAUCAGAUCGUUCGGGUUGGUUGCUUAAGAUAUUUGGUAACAAAUAUAUUAGAUGAAUGAUUGUCUUUGACAAGACCCGGCUUAUAGGCCAUCUAGCUUU